AGCACACGUGGAGUUCUGGGUGGGGCGCUGGGCAGAGGGACUCGGCUUCUAGGGCUCUGAGCCAGGCCGAGGGACAGACUGCUGGGAAGUCCCCAAAAGGGCAGCAGCACUGAGGGGCAGGAUUCCAGGGUCCUGGAGGCGGAAGCUCGGCCGACUGACUCCCAGUUCGAGAGAACGGGGCGGGGGCAGCCCACCAGUGCUGGAACCCGAGGGGCCGGGCGAGGAACGCUGGACUGGGAGCAGGACCCUUCUCGCCUCGGACAAGACUCCUUGUCUGGGGACCCAGCCCGACUUCAUUGUAGCUGGGUCCUCGAGAAAGCGAAAGGAGCCCUCCUUCCCCAUUGGCCUCUCCAUCGCUGCAUCCCAAGAAGAAAGACAACUCGGGCUCCACUUGCUUGCUUUUUAAUAACAGAGCAGAGAGAAUACAAGGCCAGGAGCGGGGCCUGGAGGAAAACAGGACUUGGGGUGCUCCUGUGAGAGCGACGCUGCCAACUCCAUCCCCCAGGGAUUGUGAAGGGGGUUCCUUCUGGCUGUGACAGUGCUGAACGAGGCCAGAGAGUGCAGCUGCCUGGAGGCACAAGCCUCCUCCUGAUCCAGGGGGCUCCAGGGAGACCAAAGCAGCUGUCAAGAUGAGAGAAAUUGAAAAAGAAAAUGGAAAACUCUCCAGCCUGGCUCUCAGCUUCUGCAUCUCCAUGCAAGACCAGAGACCCACAUCACUCCCUCACUCCACCCAGUUCCACUCCAACAAUACCUGGGCCCUGCCAGGAGUGAGAAAACGGUCCUCUUCCUGUGGAUAGGUUGCUCUCUCCUCUUCCAGAUCAGGGUAUUCAUUGGUGCUGGGGAAUCCACAGCCCUCUUCGCCAAGCACCACUGGCUCAGAUGCAGCCCCAGAGCUGCCCCACUGGGCCUUCUUCAGUCUGUGGAGACUUUAGGCUGAGGAGAGAAGUGCCUGGAGGCCAGGCUUCCUGUCUCUCCAUUCUUCACCUUUCUGUUCUGAAAUACUUCCUGCUGGGACUCCAGGGAGUUGUCAUUUGACCUUUAACCCUCCACUCCCAAUUUUCUGCUCCCCUCAGACUGAAGCAUAUUGUCUAGGAACCCAGAGGUGACCCCAACCUCCCCACUGUCCUCCAGUUCUAUGGUUUGCUUUCCUGUCUUCAGUGAUCUAGUUUCCACUCCUUCCAGCUCAUGUGGCUCAUCCUCCUUACUGCAGUUCCCUCCUUCUUUCCAUAUUACAGAAAUCUGUUUCAAUCACACCAAAGCCCACAGCUUCCUUCCAAGCAACCUCCCCUCAAAGCUCCCCUCAAACCUCCCCUCAAAGCUGUCAACCCCUUCCUUAGCUCAAACUGUUCUGCCCCCAAAUCCUGCAUGACUCCCAGAACCCAGAUGUCUCCCUUCCUUACUCGUUGAUGAUGCUCUGACGCCUUCUUAGGUCCUCCAGGUGGUAAGUGACAGCCCUCACCCGGGCGGGGACUCCCCCAAGGCCCUGCUGCUGCAUUCCUUCCAAACAUGGCCUCCUCUUCUUUCUUCUCCAAAGCAUUUCAGGGGGUGGGAGCUGCUCAGGAGGAUACAGACCAAGCUGGGAGCAACCAGUGGCUCUCUGUGCCAG
rnacentral:lncRNA from 1 species